AUGAUGAUGAUGAUGGUGAUGAUGAUGGUGGUGAUGAUGAUGGUGGUGAUGAUGAUGGUGGUGAUGAUGAUGGUGAUGAUGAUGGUGAUGAUGAUGGUGAUGGCGUAACCAACUUUGUGGGUAACAGCCAUUUCCUUCCCUUCAAAAUAGACUACCCUUCUUCAUAGCAGCGUAACCGAAUACGCUUACAAUCAAAUGAAAAGGGGUAUUUUAGACAAUACAUCGUUCAUCCCUCCAAAUUUUCGCAAAUAUGACGCUACAAUACAUAAAUCCCCCGCUAUUACCUUCAAAUCAUCGCUUCCAAUACAUCACAAGUGAACACACUUUACACUUUUUUUAUUCAUCGCUCACUGCCAAGCUUGAACAGUAAAUUACCUUCAAAUGAACACACCCUCAAAGUUGCC
rnacentral:lncRNA from 1 species